AAGUUAUCGGGAGCAGUGCCUUCCAUAAUUU
rnacentral:sRNA from 1 species